GUUUGACAGGUUGGUAGGUUGGUCAGUACAGUUAGCAAGUUUAAUAUAACUAACUCUUAAACUAUUGUCUGUCGCUGCUAAAGAUCACAUAAACACGUAUCACGAUGUGGCAGCGGUUUAAUUUAAAAGCCGUAUCUGUUACAUUUGAUUAUCUGAGCUUGGCACCAACUGUGAUACCCAUCUGCCAGUUAUACCUCUGUCUAGUGAAGUGCAGCCCACAAAUACAGCAUGUCCUCCCAGGAUGAAGAUGGGACUGUAGAGCCGGGCCACAACACUGCGGAACCAUCCACUUCUUCCUCCAAUGAGAAUGAUGAGACCACUGAGGACAUCAUCACUGUCACCAUCGGAGCAACUGUGCCCACAGGGUUCGAGCACACUGCUGCAGAAGAGGUCAAUGAGAAGAUUGGAGUUGAUGCACGAAUCAGCAAAGAUCGUGGUCGCAUAUACUUUCCAAUAACCACUGACAAGCUUUUCCAGGUCCAUCUUCUGAGGUCUGUGGACAACCUGUUUGUUGUGGUUGAGGAAUAUGAUCAUUACCAGUUCAAAGAAUCAAAGGAGGAGACAUUGAUGGAGAUGCAGCAGCUUGCCUCCAAACUCCCCUGGACUAAGGCUUUAGAGGUUUGGAAACGAAAUGGCACCCUAAAAAAGAAGAAAGGCUACCGGAAAGGUGGAAAUGGUAUCAAAGUAAAACCUAAUAGUGAGGCCACCGAUGCAGCUGUUGCUGACACUGAGCAGCAAGAGCUACCGCAGGCGGCGUCUGCUGCUGAAUGCCUGACUAAGGCGGAGAACACAGCUGACAUGGAGACCAGCACGCAAGAGUUGGAGGAGACAGCACCCGAGGCCAAACCCAUCAAGUUUCGUGUGACGUGCAACAGGGCUGGUGACAAACACAGCUUUUCUUCUAACGAGGCAGCCAGAGACUUUGGUGGGGCCGUGCAAGAAUUCUUCCAGUGGAAAGCAGACAUGACAAAGUUUGACAUAGAGGUGUUACUAAACAUACACAAUGAAGAGAUGGUGAUUGGCAUUGCACUCACAGAAGAGAGUCUUCACAGGAGAAACAUCAGUCACUUUGGACCCACUACUCUGCGGUCUACCUUGUGCUAUGGCAUGCUCAGGCUGUGUAAACCACAGGCAUCGGAUAUAAUACUUGAUCCAAUGUGUGGGACUGGAGCUAUACCAUUGGAGGGGGCCAUUGAAUUUAACAGUUCAUUCUACGUUGCCGGUGACAACAAUGACAUGGCAGUUAACCGCACUGUCAAUAAUAUUUGUCACAUCCAGAAACGGAGGGCAAUCAAGGGCAGUGCAUCUGGAUUGCCUAUUGACACAGUGCGUUGGGAUCUGUGCAAUUUACCCAUAAGGACCGGCUCUGUUGACAUUAUCAUCACUGACAUGCCCUUUGGGAAGAGAAUGGGCUCUAGGAAGAAGAACUGGGACCUGUACCCCUCCUGUCUGAGGGAAAUGGCCCGUGUGUGCACACCAGGCUCAGGAAAGGCUGUCUUGUUGACACAGGACAAGAAAUGCUUGGCCAAGGCUAUCUCGAGGAUGGGAGGGCUGUGGAGGAAGCUGCACACUGUUUGGGUCAAUGUUGGGGGUUUACAUGCUGGAGUCUACCUCCUCAAGCGAACCGGGGCCGUGUUUGGCCAAACUCCGGAGGAUGUCUAUGAGUCACGAGGGACGGUUAAUGCAGAAGGGGAUGAGAAGGGUGACAAGGAGCUCUCUUAAUUUACAUCCUGCAUAUAAGUUCCGAAUUUAUAUUUAAGGUCAUGAAUGAUUGAUAUUUUUUGUAUUUUUAUUACUUUGUUCAGCGUUAAGAAUCUCUGGUCAAGUUUGCCAAGCAUUUGUGUGUAAUUUUUUUAUUUCUCAUUUAGUUUAAUGUGAAAAACGCCUAACUGGAAAGAGAAAAGCUAUUUUUUAUCUUCAGAAGCAGUGUUGGUUCUCACACUCUGUAUGACUGAGGCAGUUCAUUUGUCAUAUUGCGGUUCAUAAACCUGCUGAAGGUGGUUUUAACUGCACGAUUCCCCCCCCCGAGACUCGCUGU